GUUAGUUUAACAAAUAUUAUGAGUGGCUUUUGUUAUGGGCCGGGUGUGGUGGUUUGUUCACUGAUUUGGCAAAUAUUUGUUGAGCAGCUGCCGUGUGUCAGGUGCUGGGCUAGGUGCUGGGGGUUAGUGAUGAGCUAAAUCAAUUCUCAUGGGACCUGAACUCAGCAGAGGAGACAGAGGGACUAUUCCACAAGUAACUGUGUAAACUGCAUGGGUGGCAGGGCAGCCGUGCAGCUAGGAGUAGUGACCAAGAAGAGUCCAAGGAAAGCCCUGCAAUGCCACUGGAUAGUGGGCAGGGGGCUCAGGCAGGACUGCAAUGAGCCUGUGGGUUUUGUUCCUACAGCAAAAGAAAGGAGUGGCUGACUUGGCAGAGAAGAGAUGAAAUCAUAUUUGCAUUUGACCAAGAUGGAGACAGUAGGGGGAGGAGCAAAAGAAAGGAGUGGCUGACUUGGCAGAGAAGAGAUGAGAUCAUAUUUGCACUUGACCAAGAUGGCCCCAGGAGAUAAUGGGAGGAAGGGGGUGACCCUGGAGGCUGAUCUGGGAUGGUGAGCUGGCCCCCUCCACUGUCGAAUGUUUAAAAAACAUUAAAAAUGAGUCAAAAGGAGAACAGAGGAAUCCGCCCCUAGCUGGUGAUGCUUCUUUUUGUUACAUACAAGUGAAGAGAGUAUAGAGAGUCAUUCAUUCAUUCAUGCAGCUCAUCUGGACUGAGCAUCUACUGUGUUAGAGAGACCACGUAUAAAUACCCUUUUAAAUGUUUAUUCAGUAACGAAGAUAUUCCUGCUUCUGACUUCUCCAUCCAGGUCUUGGAAUCACCACCUCUCACACACACACCCAGGAAUCAUCUCUGUACCAGCCUCCUUUUCUCUAACCUCGAUCCCAUCCCAUCUGACCAAUCAGAAACCAAAUCCCACCAGCCUUCUCUCUGUGAUCGAACUGCAUCUUCUUUCUUCUUCCCCACUGGGUCCAUCUGCUGGCUCUCUAGCUGGAAGCUUCUCCACACCACCCCGCACCCACCUGCCAGCCCAGCUGCCGGGACUUUGGAACAGACCUGGCUGUGGAUCCCCCUGGGGGGCUUCCAAGCUGUGUGACCUUGGACAUGUUAUCUCGCCCUCCUAGUGUUCAUCUUCCCCAUCAAUAAGACAGGCAUGAAGCUGCCUAGCUCACCAGGCUGUGGAAAGGAUGGAAGACCACAGCAGGAGGCGUGAAGCUCCUGCAUGGUGCCCAACACAGGCGAGAGGGCAGGUAAGGUUUCCGGGGCCUACCUCAUGCAAGUGUCACCCAUGGCUACUUAGGAAUAAUUUCUGGCAC
rnacentral:lncRNA from 10 species